AAUAGAUACCCUGGUAGUCCACGCCGUAAACGAUGAGUGCUAAGUGUUAGAGGGUUUCCGCCCUUUAGUGCUGCAGCAAACGCAUUAAGCACUCCGCCUGGGGAGUACGGUCGCAAGACUGAAACUCAAAGGAAUUGACGGGGGCCCGCACAAGCGGUGGAGCAUGUGGUUUAAUUCGAAGCAACGCGAAGAACCUUACCAGGUCUUGACAUCCUUAUGACAUCUCUAGAGAUAGAGCUUUCCCUUCGGGGACAUAAGUGACAGGUGGUGCAUGGUUGUCGUCAGCUCGUGUCGUGAGAUGUUGGGUUAAGUCCCGCAACGAGCGCAACCCUUGAUCUUAGUUGCCAGCAUUCAGUUGGGCACUCUAAGGUGACUGCCGGUGACAAACCGGAGGAAGGUGGGGAUGACGUCAAAUCAUCAUGCCCCUUAUGACCUGGGCUACACACGUGCUACAAUGGAUGGUACAAAGGGUAGCGAGACCGCGAGGUUUAGCCAAUCCCAUAAAACCAUUCUCAGUUCGGAUUGC
rnacentral:rRNA from 1 species